UCCAAGAAAGAAGGAAGCUAGGUAAUCAAAUUUAGAAAUGCUUUAAAAUCAAUUAAGCCACUACUACUGAUUUUGGAUUAUAAAUUAUAGCAUGUGUUGAGUUGAACACAUGUUGUAGGCUGUAGCAAGGGUAAUGGCUUCAAAUUUUAGGUGUUCGCUUAUUUGGGUGAUUCUCUUUCUCUGUUUGUUGAGUUUUUCUACCAAAGUAUUAACAAGGAACAUUCCUAUCGUUUCUGAACACUAUACAGAUGAAAUGGGAGUGAAUAAAAGAGUCCUUCGACAAGAAAAUCGACCACCAAAAUGUAGAAGGGGAAGAAUGACUUAUGUUGUGAGUCGUUUCAAGAAAGAUAAACCACGUUGCCAUCAUUAUUUAUGAUAUGUUGUUUGAUUAAUUAUUAGAUAUUGUAUGAUGAAGUUGCAGAAAAAUAAUUUCGAAUCGAGAUAGUAUCUUAUUUUAUUUAAUUUAAAAUAUACUGUAUCUAUUAAUUUUGAUUAUUCUCAAUAAUAUAUUAAAUUAUUUAA